rnacentral:tRNA from 1 species
GGAGGUGUACGGGUCCCGGUGGGCCUCACCGUCUUCAAAACGGUCGCGCGGUCGCCAGAGCGGUCGUGGGUGGGUUCGACUCCCAUACGCCUCUGCCA